GGGGGGGGGUCACCAACCGGUGACGGACAUCGCUCAAAUUAAACCCCGGACAGAACACGAACGCGUGGGGCUCCCCCGCCUGCCGCUCAGUGCAGACAUAAUAUUUAAUAAUGUUAAAGAGCAGGCGCGUCCGUCUGAAAUGCAGGGCUUUGGAGACAAGGGCCGAUGAACGGCAGCAGAUACAGCAAUUUGUUCAACUCCGGGGGACGCUGUGGGAUGAGAGUUGGGAAUAUGGCAGUAUUGCAGGUGGGUUCCUGAAACCUAUGUCGACCUUUGAAUUUUCUCCGGAUACGGUACUCUGGGUUCCUCCGACACGAAGAGCACUCGAUUUUAAAUGUGAACUGCCCAAAACUGACCUCCUUGAAAAAGACUUAAGUCUCUCCCGGAUAAAUGUCAAUGAACUGCUGGAUGAGUGGCCUCGUGCCUUUGUGGGUUGUUUAACCUUUCGCCACGCUGGGCAGUGCGGGUUGGUGAAGGCAGGGAGCACAGACUCGGAAGCAAAGAAGUGUAGUACAACUUUUGCAUGCUCUUCACUGCACCGUGUCAGUUCUCGGAAGCUAGGCUAAGGAAAAUUGAGCCUGGUUAGUGCUCGGAUGAGGGUACGCAAUGCAUACACACCGGUUGCGGGGAGAUGGAUUACAGGGCGACUUUAAUAUUCGUGGUAAUUCCCGGCAACCCCGUGCCAUUGGUACCAGCGUGAGGGCUGGUAAUGCCCACGCAAACUGAUCCCCGAUUGAACUUGUAACCCCAAAGCCUCGUUAAACGUUGCCAUGCUGGUUCCGUUUUCAAGGGAAAACCCGCUGGCCUCUCCCAGAUCUUUAAAAAGAAGAGUGUGUCAGUGGAUUCUCACCAUCAUCACGGUCCAUGGGUGGAUAGCCCGUAGUUGUCCACUGCACGUUUCGUCAUUUAUUGCUACUUUCCUCUGUCUUGUGCCAAUAUGCUCAAGUAGUGCCAUAUCUUCGUCGUCAAGCCAUUCUCUGUCAGGUCUUCCUCUCUAUCACCUAUUUAUCAAGGAUGAAUACAUCAAUUAAAAUGAUUCCCCUUCCUCUGCAUUAUGAUAAAUGUGCCUCAGUAGUGGCGCUUCAGACCCAAUCCCACACGGUAAAAGCUCAACCCAUGCCCGAUAAGAAUUUGUAAACUCUUUAGAGGUUCAAUCUUGAUUUUAAGCUUUCGUGAUAGCAGGAAUCCAUUCUCUUUGGUUCUUUCGGUAAAGUCACGUAGAUAGAAAAAUAAAAUUAAAAAUUAUAUAUCACGACGUUUCGAUCGCAACACAAGUGGUCGUCUUCAACUCAUUAUUAGUGGAACUGCUGGAUUAUUUUUAUUUUAUUUGUAUUUAGAGGUUGUUUAGUUAGACGGUCCACCACAACACUCCAGUUGAUAUCACUGCAUUGAUGCCUGUCAUCUAAUAUCGACUCGCCUGACCCAUAACAUUUAAAGCAUUUUUGUUGUUCCCCUUAACUAAGCUUCGUGCGAGAGUGUUAGCAAAAUUUGUUUAUAAUUAUUUACACCCCCCCCCCCCCCUAUACGUGAAGGCCCUUCCACGGGCAUGUUGGUCACGAGGAUUGGUUUUACCAUACUUCAUCACCACGCUGGUCAGUGAGGGGUUUGUUGGUGAUGCAGUGCCUCCAUUCCGGUUCAGAUUCCACUCGCCACGGAAUUGAACUUGGGUGGCCGGGUUCGUUGCCGAGUGCGCUAACCAUUCCGCCACCGCUCCCUUCCCCCCCCCCCCCUGCGUGUGAGCUGCGUGUGUUUAUGUAUUUGCUUUGGGGGUUGAGUGUCGUGACGAGAGCCGACUGCGCUUGUCCUGGCAACGAGGACAUGCAAACUGCUGGGGCCUCACCGUGGAAACGGCACGGGGCCCAUAGCCGAGAGUGACAUCGGCUCAUAACUACGACACGGAACAACGCGAACUUCAUUCUUUUAGCACCAGUCAAAGAGGCCCGUUACAAACGAAACGGCGAGAGGGAACGCCGUUCCCACUAGGGCCAGCGAUGACUGAAAAGCGUCACACGACGGAGGUGACUGUCGAGUCUCAAGUUCGUUUCGGUGAAUGAUUAAGCUCCGGACGCAAUGUGCUACCAGCACCCCCCCACAACCCCCUGCCCGUCAUGACUACGAGAACACUCUGAUCCUGCACUGCUCGUGGGCCAUGCGGGUGCGGAGAGUGCUCGAGGGAGGUGAGCGCUCAUCGUCGUAAAGGUUACGUGUCUAGGUUAACUGGCCACAGGUAAAAAAAAAUGGCAAAUGUAGAAUGAGGGGUUACGGUGGUUUUUUUUGUUAUCACAGAGAGCAAGCGAAGGGCUCCGAUUUUCCGCAGACCUGCGGCACCUCCGAUUAGCACGGUUGGAUAUGUACGGUGCGAAAGAAGUUCAACAUUCGUACAUAUACAAGACCGAGAGGUAUAGCUAUGGGUAGGUUGAUGUUAAUAUUCUCAAAGGAUAAUUGUAGGUUAGAGAUACUGUUAGGGGUAAUAUUAAGGUUAGAGUGCAGGUUAGUUUUUAUUGUCAAAAUGGUUAAGUGUAAGCUAUAGUUAUCGUUAGGGGUAUAAAUAAUGAUCAAGGUUAGAAUGAGGGUGAGGUGGAGGUUGGUGUUAACUGUUAAAAGUUAUGUGUUAGACGUAAGUUUAGGGAUAAGCGUAUGAUUAAUGGUAAGUGUGGAUUAGGUGUAUGUGUAGGAUGAGGGUUAAGUGUUCACUUAGGUUUAAAGGUAGUGUCGUGUUUUGGUUUCAGUGUAGGAUUGUCAUUAAAAUGUAAGCUUAGGAUUAAGCAUACGGAAAUUGCUAAACGUUGGUUAAACGUAGGGGAAGGUGUUACGUGUAGGGUUAUUGGUAUAUUAUAGUUUAGGGCAGCACAAGCCAGCAUCGUUCAGGACUAUAGCGGUAAGGUAUUUACAGAAUUUGCAUACGCCACUCCGACCGAAGUCUCUCUCUCUGCACCCUCAGCACCGUUCUGGCAAUAUUCACGUACUGGGGUAACUAUCCGUGCCAUUCGCAUUCGCUCCGGCUCUAUUUGCACCAGGCAGGCUCAGUCGAGAGUGAGCCGGAGAUUUUCUCGUGCAUGACCCCGCGACGCACUGCCCUGAUGAACCCGCUGCACACUGAACCCAAUACCAGCAGCAGAGACCCGCUACACAGGGUACGGUGACAUAACCACUCAGCCGGCUCAAUCUGUGUUGUCAGGGCAGCAGACCUUUUUUUACAUGACGAAACCUGUCCUAGUUAAGCAAAACCGAUUUGAGGUCCCUGUGCAUAUAUGUAAAAACAUUGACAGUCUUCUUGUAAAUCCACUGCUGGAUGUAGGGCCUCCCCACCCCAUGUCGGCCACAGGGGUUGUUUGACCAUACUUCAUUUUGGUCAGUACAUCUUGGUGAAGGAGAGGUCCAGGACCAGUUCAGAUAGCAUUCGCGACUGAGGUUAACCGUGAACGGGAAUUCGUGAAAUUCGACUUAUGGCUCUGUGAACGAACCAGUGUUACUGCACCAGGGGCUUCCAUGUGGAGCCAGCCUACACCUUUAUUUCUCAGUUGAAAACUACGGUAAUCUCCACCUCAGAGGUGUUUUUAGGAAAGCUUUGGCCAAAAAGGUUGAGCUUAAUUAAUUUGCAUUAGGUCAUGUCAGAGGGGGCGAGUAAUACAAUAAUGAGCACAGGUGCAGUGCAAAAUGGUUCCCAAGAGACGAGACCUACAUUCUGACUCUCCCAUUAAGAACAAUGCCACUUAGCAGCAUUCCACAACCUUGAGUCAAUCAGUAUCUAUUACAGCAAGGUCCGAGGCUAUUAAGUUACUUCUGAGAAUGUAUCUGUUUUAUGAAGUUUGACGAUUAUGCUGGCUCGGGACUCUGGUGCACGUUCAAAAUCACACUCCAGAAAUACAUGUAUGUUGCUGGUGAUACUGAUAACUAUUACAAUAUGCUUAAUAAAUGAUGGCCUGAUAACAUAGGCUAGGGUCAUUGCUAUUCACGAACACCUAUUAAGGCUAGUAUUGUCAAUGGAGGGGUACAGUGGCCAAUAGCUCGUCCGGCCACAUUUUUAUCCCCAGUGCUGAUGGUUAUACUCCACACCGUGUACUAAUUUAAGGCUGAAUUCACCUCGGAGAGAUUCAGGACUGGUUCAGAUGUUCACCACUGAUGUUAGAUAUUGGCCAGGAAUGAACUCACGUGGCCGGGUUCAUAGAACAGUGCGGUAAUCACUACACCACCGCUCCCCUCAUCCACACAAAUAUUUGUGCACACUAGUGUGACAGUGCCCUUGUCAGUGCCCCUUACCAUGCUCUGUGACACCAACACUACCAAACAAGCCAUGCCCUUCAGACCCACACACGCCUGUCACACUUGGCUUGGACGCUUCUAGUCAUGUGAGUUUUACCAUUUAAUACCAUAAAUGGGUUUUUUUGUUGCUUCCUUUUUAAUUGCUGUCGCUUGUACAUUUUGUAUUCUGCGAUGUGGUCAUUCGGAAGAGUAAGCCAACACGAGAUGGCGUUUGACCCUUGAGCCAAAUAAAACUAUAAAAAGUCACCACUCUUCGAAAUCAAUGGGUACUUGCAUUGUCAAAAUAAUAGACAGUAUCUUCACUUUAAAAAUGUGACUGCAUCAGACGCACUCUGGCGCAGCUUUGGAAUUCGCAGGUAGUGCGACUGGAUUGCCGACGUGUAUCCCUUGCACUAAGGUACCAUGCCAACCACACACUGAGCUAAUUACCAGACAUUAAUUAAACAGGCCGCGUACACUUGGGGAGGGAGAGGGGGGGGUUGCCACUCUGUGCUUCCCCAACGCAUGUGCUCUCGCAAAGCAGCCUGUGCAGACGCACACCGCAUGAAAAUCCAGCUACAAUGAAUGACAAGCCAAGCACACAGCGACAAAAAGCCUUCUGGAAUACUUGCUUCAGCCCAUGUCGCGUAAACGCAUCAGUACAUAGCUUCAUUCCAACCAGAACAGUCUGGGGUUCUGUUCCGGAAAGUAUAUUGGCACACCAUAUCCAAUCUCACGUUAUUGUGUCCUUCAUGAUACCGAUGUGGUGUGUGGUAGUGUGGCAAUUUGUUUGCAUGGAUUGUGCUUAGGGUUACCAGAUGUCUUGAAGGACAGAACUUUAAAUUAUGCCACAAUAAUAUAGUAUUAUGGAUAUGUACCUUAUAUUCUCGUGGUGGUGCUUAUUCCAAGGCAGUCUAGCAGCACUUCAGAUUAUAACAAGUGAGAAAUUCAUCCGCGUGUAUAACCCAUUAAAUAUUUCAUACACUUUUGAGGGUGACAUUCAGGUGUGGAUCCGGGUUUGUACUAAUACUGAACUGUGAAAAUACGCUGUAUUCCAUUUGCAUGAACGUGCCCUCAAAAUGCGAAUUAUUAUUAAAUCUAAAGUGCGUUUUUAACAUGUAGGCUGUACUAGUGACGAAUUGGCCACGUUCAGUUUACGUGACAACCCUUACUAGUUGGCCGUGUCGGAUGGUGGCGGGUUUAAACGACACAUUUAUAUAUUGACGCGAUCUAACCCAAAAACCUCUAUUAUAAAUUAAAAGUGCAGUUUAAACGAGUAAUGCGCUACGUGCUUGGGCUAUAUAGGGUGAGAACCUGUGGUCUAAGUGACUACCGCAUAUUAACAUUUUAGUGCCCGCAGUGCUUUAUAACACAGGGCCCGCGUGCACAGUGCGGUGCAGGCAGUCUCAUGAGAAAAAAAUCACCACGAGUUUUCAAUUACAGAGGCUGGCGGCGUGACGAGGAGGUGGGGGGGACACUGGGUCAGCCACGCUGUUUUUUUUCCCCUCCGGAGAGCACGUGGACACAGCGUGAGUGAGCUACGACGAGGAGGAGGACGACGAGGAUGCACCUCUCGCAUUCACCAUCGCGUCUGCAUCAGCAGGGCUAAUGGUGGGGGCACGGAGGGAGCCCACCCGUUAUUAACGCGUUGUUCUCGUAACGCAUUAAGCUGUCCAUUCCACCCAUCUGUAACGUGGGGAGACGAUAACUCUUGACAGAAGCGGAUUCAAUAUGAGAAAGAAAGAAA